UGAACCCCAAAAUCGAGACAGGAACCCAAAAUCCAGCAGAUCCCAAAAUCGAGACAGGAUCCCAAAAUCCCACAGCGCCCCAAAAUCUGGCAGUGCUGGGGGACCCCAGAAUCCCAUGGAAUCCCAAAAUCCCGUUGGAUCCCAAAAUCCGGCACUGCCACAGGAUUCCCAACGCCGGGGGAAGCCCAAAAUCCUGUGGGAUCCCAAAAUCCCACGGGAUCCCAAAACCUGGGAGUGUUCCAAAACCCCAGGACCCCAAAAUCCAAUGGGACCCCAAAUUUGCUCUGCCACAGGAUUCCCAAAACGGAGGGAACCCCAAAAUCCUGUGGGAUCCCAAAAUCUGACAGGAUCCCAAAAUCCUGAGGCGCCCCCAAACCUGGCACUGCCCAAAUCCCACAGGAUCCCAAAAUCCAGGGGAACCCCAAAAUCUGGGAGUGUUCCAACACCUCAGGACCCCAAAAUCCAACGGGACCCCAAAAUCCAACGGAAUCCCAAAAUCUGGCACUGCCACAGGAUUCCCAAAGCCAGGGAACCCCAAAAUCCUGUGGGAUCCCAAAAUCCAGUGGCACCCCAAAACCUGGCACUGCCCAAAUCCCACAGGACCCCAAAAUCCAACGGAACCCCAAAAUCUGGGAGUGUCCCAACACCUCAGGACCCCAAAUCCAACGGGACCCCAAAAUCCCGUGGCACCCCAAAAUCCGGCACUGCCACAGGAUCCCAAAACCGGGGAACCCCAAAAUCCUGUGGGAUCCCAAAAUCCAACAGGACCCCAAAAUCUGGGACUGUUCCAACUCCAAUGGGACCCCAAAACCUCCCAGCCCCACAGAGCCCCAAUUCCUGCUUUAGGCAUUCCUGGUUUUUAUUCCCUGCUCCCCUUCGGGGGAUCCUGCUGGAAUUCUGGGAAAUCUGCUGGAAUUUUGGGGGAAUCCUUCAGGAAUUUUGGAGAGAUCCUACUGGAAUUCUGGGGGAUCCUGCUGGAAUUUUGGGGGAGAUCCCGCUGGAAUUGUGGGGGGAUCCUGCUGGAAUUCCAGGGGAUACUUCAGGAAUUCUGGGGGAUCCUGCUCAAAUUCUGGGAAAUUCCAGUGGAAUUUUGGGAAAUCCCCCUGGAAUUCCAGGGAAUCCCACUGAAAUUUUGGGGGGAUCCUGCUGGAAUUCCAGGGGAUCUGAUGGAAUUCUGGGGGAUCCUGCAGGAAUUUUGGGAAGUCCCACUGGGAUUCUGGGAAAUCCCAGUGGAAUUUUGGGAAGUCCCGCUGGAAUUCCAGAGAAUCCCACUGAAAUUUUGGGGGAUCCUGCUGAAAUUUUGAGGGGAUCCUGCUGGAAUUCCAGGGGAUCCUGCUGGAAUUCCGGGGGAUCCUGCUGGAAUUUUGGGGAGAUCCCACCGGAAUUCUGGGAAAUCCACUGGAAUUGUGGGGGGAAUCCUGCUGGAAUUCCAGGGGAUACUUCAGGAAUUCUGGGGAAUCCUGGUGGAAUUUUGGGAAAUCCGCUGGAAUUUUGGGAAGUCCCCCUGGAAUUCCAGGGAAUCCCACUGAAAUUUUGGGGGGAUCCUGCUGGAAUUCUGGGGAAUCCUGGUGGAAUUUUGGGAAAUCUGCUGGGAUUUUGGAGGAUUCCACAGGAAUUUUGGGAUUCCCACACUGGAAUUUUGGGGGGAUCCCGCUGGAAUUUUGGGGAAUCCCACUGGAAUUUUGGGGGGAUCCCGCUGGAAUUCUGGGGGAUCCUGCUCAAAUUCUGGGAAAUCCCACUGGAAUUUUGGGGAAUCCCUCUGGAAUUCUGGGAAAUCCUGCUGGAAUUUUGGGGGAUCCCGCUGGAAUUCCAGGGGAUACUUCAGGAAUUCUGGGGGAUCCGGAUCAAAUUCUGGGAAAUCCCAGUGGAAUUUUGGAAAAUCACGCUGGAAUUCUGGGGGAUCCCACUGGAAUUGUGUGAAAUCCCACUGGAAUUUUGGGGGGAUCCUGCUGGAAUUUUGGGAAAUCCCACUGGAAUUCCAGGGGAUCCCACUGAAAUUUUGGAGGAUCCUGCUGGAAUUCCAGGGAAUCCCUCUGGAAUUCUGGGGGAUCCUGCUGGAAUUUUGGUAAAUCCGGCUGGAAUUCCAGCAGGAUCCCGGUUUGGCAUUCCCGGAUUAUUUCCAUGGUUUGGCGUUCCCGGAUUUCCCGCUCCGGGAUUUGUCCCUCGGGAUCGGGAGCAGCGACCCCGGAGCUGA
ensembl:lncRNA